GAGGAACUACUUGUAGAUUUAGUUUCUCAAUCAAUCUAGUGCUACAGCAAUUGCAGCAUGAUCCACCAUCCACAAUAAGAGAGCAUAUAUUUUCUAAAACAUUGCAUCUAGUAUGAAAGAUGUUCUCUCGUUGUGUCUCGAUGGAUGCACUAGGUUGAUUGUGGAGGAUUCUUUGAAUCAUCAAUAAGUCCCCCUCCAAAGGAUUUACCCUCUCUCCUUCCCCCUUUUCUUGUGUACUAGGUUCAUCCUCACCACUAGUGUACUCAUCUUUUCCUUUUAAGAACAAAGCCCUUUGGUUUGGACAUUGUGCUUGCACAUGUCCUAUUCCAAAACACUUAAAACACUUGGUGUCCCUAGCACGAAUGGGUGGGGUGGAGGCAUCUUUCACUAAAGGUUUGGUAGUUUCUUUGGGUUUGUCUCUAGAUGUGCUACCUUCUCUUUUAAAGUCUUU
rnacentral:lncRNA from 1 species